GCUAAAUGCGGAAGAGAUAAGUGCUGAAAGCAUCUAAGCACGAAACUUGCCCCGAGAUGAGUUCUCCCUGAGACUUAAAGUCUCCUGAAGGAACGUUGAAGACGACGACGUUGAUAGGCCGGGUGUGUAAGCGCAGCGAUGCGUUGAGCUAACCGGUACUAAUGAACCGUGAGGCUUAACCUU
rnacentral:rRNA from 1 species